GCUAAAAAAAAAAAAAAAAGUAUGCUUUGAUCUGCAUUCAGACUCCAGAAGUUCUUUCUUUGGAGAUGGAUAGCAUUUAUUAUUGUCUUGAAUCAUAUUAUUGCUGAGAAUAGCUAAAUCAUGAUGAAAACUUUUUCAUAACUUCCUUUAUUCAUAUAGUCAUCUGACUGGGAUCUGGACAAAAUGUUUCAAGUAUCCCUUUCUUCACAGGGGAUUCUGGAGGAGAGCUUUGAGGAUAAUAACUUUCCACAGCUCUGCCCCACUCAUAUCCAAUUCAUUUUCAAGUCAUCACACUGGUGAAGUCAGUGGCCCUAAAGAGCAAAGGAGGAACAACAACUAGGGUUUUGCAUAACAUCACACAGAGAGAACUUCCCAAGCAGUUCAAUGAUCUCACAGUUGCUCACCAUCAUCCCCUGUAGUCCUUGGUCUUUAGUGGGAAAAGUGAAAGAGGCAGGCAAGCUGCCAUACAACUUGACAAAGAUGAAUCUUGAACUCUGGAGUCUGGAUCCUGAAUUCUCUCUCCUUCUCGUCCUUCAGCAGAGCAACUCUGAUUCUCUCCCUUAGCCCUCCAAUCCUUGCCUACAAUUACCUCACCCCUACACAUUCAGCAAGCACCAAUGGUGAGGAGAGUCAUCACAUCUUCAUCUCAUCUAAAUAUGUGUAUAUAGAGCCAUUAUCUCACAUGGAAUAGGUAAUUAGCCUUAGGUGCUCUGCUGUCUGAUUCAAGUACACCUUUUCAGAGUUUCAGCCCUCUACAAUUUUCUAUUAUUACAUAUGCUUUCUUGAAAUAAACAUUUAUUGUUGCAUA